ACCUUAGACAACGGAUGUCUUGGCUCUUUACACGAUGAAGAACGUUGCAUAAUGUGAUAAGCGGCUAGAAUUGCUUAAUUUGUGAUAAGUUCGAUCUUUGAAUGCACAUUGCGUAUUUAAUGAUUUUUAAUUAUUAAAUACAUAUAUUUAUAAGUAACCUAUUUUAAUUUAUUAAUCAUUUUUUUUUUAAAAAAUGUGAAAAAAAUUUAAAAUAUUUUUUUUUAAAGGUUCUUGUUUAUAUAGGAAAACCCACUGAACUGAAGCAUCUCAAUAAGUGGAGGAAAAUAAACUAACUAGGAUACUCUUAGUAAGUGCGACCGAAGAGAGUAAAGCUCAAUAAUCUAAACUUUAAAUUUUUAUAAUUUAAAGUCAUGUGAUUUUCUAAACUCAUUGAAAUUUUUAUAAAUUAUGAUUGAAUUCAUAACUAUAAAGAGUUAUAGUCUCGUUAUUUAAAAUUUCAAGCAUGGGAAUUAGAAUUAAAGAGUCGGGUAGCUUGAGAAUGCUGCCUUAAUAUAGGUGGUACACCCCAUCUAAAGCUAAAUAUUGUAAAGAGACCGAUAGCAUACAAGUAGUGUGAACGAAAGAUGAAAAGAACUCCUAAACGGAGAAUUAAAAGCGCCUGAACUUGUCUAGGUUUUCGCAUUUCUUUAAUGCGCCCGUCUUGAAACACGGAUUAGGGAGUUUUACUUAAAUACGAGUCUUUAACUUUUAAAGUAAUUUUUUAAAAAAGGCGAAAAGAAAUUAACUGGUUUUUUAACAUGGCUAUAGAGUAUUUAAGUCAAAACCCGAAUGGAGGUGAACUAUUCCUGCAAAGAUUGAAGUCAGGGGAAACUCUGAUGGAAGAUCGUUGGCGUUAUUGAUGUGCAAAUCAUUUGCUUUAUGUAGGUAUAGGUGCGAAAGACUCAUCGAACCUCCUAAUAGCUGGUUUCCUCCGAAGUUUCCCUCAGGAUAGCUGUAACAUUUUUAAAUAGUUAAGGAUAGUAGAGAAAUGGGUAGAGGUGUAGUGGAACUACGGUUCUGCAACUUAUUUCCAAACUUCGAACGUUCUUGAUAUAAAAAAUUACCUAAUAGGAAUUUUUUAUUUAAAUAUAUGUUAUAAGUGGGCUCUGACCGGUAAGCGGUCAUGGCGAAAAGGGAUGAACCUAACGUAUAAAUAAGGUGCCUAAAUUUACUAACAAUGAAACCAUUAAAAGAGUCCAUGUAUUUAGACAGCGGGUCGGUGCCCCUAAAAGCAGGUAUCCGUUAAUGAGUGUGUUAAAACUCCCCCGCCGAAUACUCUGGCCUUGAAAAUGAAUGGCGCAUAUAGUAAUACCGAUAUUAUACAUUAAAAUUAUUUAAAAAUUUUAAAAGUAGGGGGAUGUGGAUAUCUUAGCGAAUUUUUAAUUGUAAAAUUGAAUUGAAAGAUAUCUAUUACAGAUCCUAAUUGAAGUAGCGAUUAUCCAGGUUAAUCUCCUGGGGGCUGAUGAGGAGUAGGGUUUCUGGGCAACUUAAACGGACCCAGAGUUAGUCGAUCCUAAUCAAAUUAAAUUUAGAGAAAGGGAAUAUGAAUGAUAUUUCAUAACUAAAAUUAAUUUUUAAAUGGUGACAUUUUUUUAAACUUAUUUCCAUCAAUUAAAUACUGUUUAAUAGGGAUUUCUUUCCUAUAUAACUUUUUAAUUAAAACUUAAGAAACAGGUUAACUGGAGAAUAAAGUUUUAAUUUAGUAAAAUUAUAAUUUCGAUUAUAAUAACGGCUAUUUAAAUGAUCCAUGAAACGAUAAGUUUAUUUUUUCAAAAAUUAAUUUAAUCGUACCGAUAACCGCAUCAGGUCUCCAAGGUGAGUAGCUUCUGGCCAUUGAGUAAUGGUAAUUUAGGGAAUUCGGCCAAUUAGAGCUGUAACUUCGGGAUAAAGCUUGGCUCUGAUGGAAAUCAGAACCGAUAGUUACAAGGAGAGCCCAACUGUUUAAUAAAAACUUAGUGUCGCGUCAUACCUUUAUAAGUAAUAAACGUGACAUGAAUCCUGCUCAGUGCUGUGUUUGUUAAACUGGAUUAAUCCAUUUAAGCGCCGGUAAAUAGCUGGGGUAACUAUGACUCUUAUCAAAGUAGCGAAAUACCUCGUCACUUAAUUAGUGACCUGCAUGAACGGAGCUAUGAGGUUCUCACUGUCCCAAAUUAUCACUCAGCGAACCAACAGUUGUGGGAACGGGCACAAAUUAUCCAGCGGGGAAAGA
rnacentral:rRNA from 1 species